rnacentral:rRNA from 1 species
GACGAACGCUGGCGGCGUGCUUAACACAUGCAAGUCGAACGGAAAGACCCUGCUUUUGUGGGGUGCUCGAGUGGCGAACGGGUGAGUAACACGUGAGUAACCUGCCCUUGACUUUGGGAUAACUUCAGGAAACUGGGGCUAAUACCGGAUAGGAGCUCCUGAUGCAUGGUGGGGGUUGGAAAGUUUCGGCGGAUGGGGAUGGACUCGCGGCUUAUCAGCUUGUUGGUGGGGUAGUGGCUUACCAAGGCUUUGACGGGUAGCCGGCCUGAGAGGGUGACCGGCCACAUUGGGACUGAGAUACGGCCCAGACUCCUACGGGAGGCAGCAGUGGGGAAUAUUGCACAAUGGGCGGAAGCCUGAUGCAGCAACGCCGCGUGCGGGAUGACGGCCUUCGGGUUGUAAACCGCUUUCGCCUGUGACGAAGCGUGAGUGACGGUAAUGGGUAAAGAAGCACCGGCUAACUACGUG